UACGAGGGGGGCAAGCGUUGUUCGGAAUUAUUGGGCGUAAAGGGUGCGUAGGCGGUGCGGUAAGUCUGUUGUGAAAUCUCCGGGCUCAACUCGGAGUCUGCAUCAGAAACUGCCGAGCUGGAGUGUGGGAGAGGUGAGUGGAAUUCCCGGUGUAGCGGUGAAAUGCGUAGAGAUCCGGAAGAACACCGGUGGCGAAGGCGGUCUGCUGGGCAGUUGCUGACACUGAGGCGCGACAGCAUGGGGAGCAAACAGG
rnacentral:rRNA from 1 species